AUGCUGAAUGCUGUGGUUUUCUCAUGUUGUUUUUGGACUUCCCUUUAUGUAGGUAUGCAAUGUAGAAAAUUUUUUGAGUUGAGAUUUCUGGUGGCAAGGUAAGUCAUAAGGUAAACAUAGACUAAGUUCUCGGGUCAUUAUGCUCCUUAACAAGUUGAAACAGAGGCUGUGCCUAAUGUGGUGUUGCAUAUUUUGUCUUCAGGUGUUUAGGGAAGGGCCCCGCUGAUAACAGGUCCUGUGAGAUGCUGCCACCUUAAAGCAUGGGGCAAUUUCUUUCAUCAUGAACAUUUCAAAAAGACCCUUGGACACAUUUGGCUUUGCACUGCUGUUUGACCUGUGUGACAACAAAGAUUUCCUUGAACAAAGGAUAAGGAUUUUCCAAGCCUGGGACUGGAACUUCAUGCAAAUGUCAGCUUCCCUUAAAGACAGAUGUGGGAUACCAAGAAGACUAUGGACAGAACUUCUUGCAAAUGUCAGGUUUCCAUUCAAGACAGUGACAUUUCUCCUCUUUGUCUGUGAAGUACCUCCAGGAAUCAUGUAAUGAAGAAAGUAGGCUCACCAAGCAAACAAGGUUCCCUUGACAAAAGAUGCAAGAUGCAAGCAGCCUGUGCACAGAACCUCUGGCAAAUGUCAGGUAAGAAUCAGGGUGCUGGUACCAUGUUGGGACCAAGUGGUCCUCCAUGUGCAAGUAGAUGUCAGGAG
rnacentral:lncRNA from 1 species